GUCUACAGCCAUACUACCCUGAAUGCGCCUGAUUGCCUCUGAUCUCGGAAGCUAAGCAGAGUCAGGCCUGGUUAGUACUUGGAUGGGAAAUGAAACUCAGUGUGCCAAAGGAA
rnacentral:rRNA from 1 species